UGCUCAGUGAAUACUUAAACAGCCGCAGAACUUUAACUGUGCUAAGGUAGCAUAAUCACUUAUCUCCUAAUUAGAGACUAGAAUGAAAGACUCAACAUCCCGCUAACUUUCUUUAUCCCACCUUAAAAAUUAUACUAAAUAUAAAAAUAUAUUUAUAAUUAAACAAGACGACAAGACCCUAUUGAACUUCACUUCAGUUUAGCUGGGGAAGCUAAUUAAUAAAAAUUUUAAAAAUUAAAUAAUCAUCAACCCCCUGACAUAAGCCAAUUUCUAACAAGUUACCAUAGGGAUAACAGCGCAAUCUAUUUUCUAAGCUCUUAUAUAAAAAUAGGAUUACGACCUCGAUGUUGAAUAUUUAACUAUUAAGCGCAAUCGCUUAACAAUAGUGGGCCUGUUCGACCCGUAAAAUUUUACA
rnacentral:rRNA from 1 species